GACCAGAGUUAAGUGAAGGCCACACCUGUUGCAUUGUGGGAAGAAGGUAUUCAGCGAGAGCCAACGUGGCUGCAGAGAAAAAUGUACGGGCUUAAACUAAGAUUUGCACGGUCCAAGAGGCGCACACGUUUUCACGGUGUCUUGAGGAUGGAAAUGUUGAAAUAAAUGUUAAAAAGACAUCUGUAUGAUGCGUGGCCGUAUUCAAUUGGACCAGUGUAACUACAGUGAAAACGUAACGCCAGCAUGGCCAAGAGUCUAAAGCGAGAGUCUUACUAAAGAGCAACGUGAGUCCGUGAAGAGAGCCAGAGCAAGAGAGAGAGAGAGAGAAAAGCAUCGCUGAGGCAGCGUGUGACCGGACAAGAAGCGAGAGAAAAGAUCGUGCUGAUUCACGGGAUAACAAAGGAGAGCCGUUCCUGACACAGAGUGCAGAGUUCCGCGAUUUCGCCAACAGAGGACAGCAACAACGAAGACUACAGCGCCGCAAAUGUCCCCUACAGGCGUCAGAGUGCAGAAUCCGUUUUCCUCCCUUGCUGUCAACACUAAACGGGCGGCUCCACGGACGGCGCCAGGUUUGAUUGUGCUAUCCUGUGCUUCUUUAUGGAACUUUGUUGGCUACAGUUUGAAAGAAAGGACUUGGUAAAACAAACUGCUGGUUCAUUGAGAGAGUAAUUUUAUCUGUCUUUACAGCCCAAUUGCUGUUACUGAAACAGUGUAAUUGUUAAUGUUUUAAUGUUAUUGCUAAUAUUUUUCCUCUGAGAGCUUAAAUACUCAAUCGAGUUCAGGUGAAUAGAAAUAGCAAUUGACUGCACUGAUAACUACAUUGUUGUAAAGGGCUUAUCUGCACAAUUAGCAAGUUAAUGAAUACAGUGCCUUAUCUAAAAUCUGCAAAAUGUCAGUUCAUGAAGAAAAAUCACCAAAUUAAGUGAAGAAAUAGAUUCUCUUCAGAAGAAGUUAAGUAGUUUGAGAGUACAGUUAAAGGCACAAACAGAUGAAGCUGAAAAGGAGAAAUUAGAAACACUUAUAGGUGACAUUAUUGCUAAAAUAGAGAUACUAAAAGUAUCAACGGUUGAACCUACUUCUAUUACCUCCCAGACAGACAACCUCAGGAGAUCUUCACGAGAUAGAAAAUUAACCCCAAAAAUGCUAGAGUUGAAGCAACAAGAGACCUCUCAAAAUGAGAGUAAAUUCAUAGCAUUAUAUGAAAAAUGGAAAGAGCAGGUUAAAGUUCCACGCAACAAUCUUAAAGAUGAGUGUUCUGAUGAAGACUUGUGUGGAAUGAUGGAUGCUGUAGAAGGGCUAGAAAAACAAGUUAAAGAUGCAUAUGUAAAUGUACGAUCUCAAUCAGCACCUUCUACUGAGAUUAGAAGGAAGGUGGAUUCCUGCACAGCGGUAUCAAGAGACUUGAUGGA